GUGGUGGCUUUCAUGCGCGUCCGUGUGAAGAGACCACCAAACAGGCUUUGUGUGAGCAAUAAAGCUGUUUAUUUCACCUGGGUGCAGGUGGGCUGAGUCCGAAAAGAGUCAGCGAAGGGAGAUAGGGGUGGGGCUGUUUUAUAGUAUUUGGGAAGGUAAUGGAAAAUUACAGUCAAAGGGCGGGCAGGAGUGGGGGGUCGCAAGGUGCUCAGUGGGGGUGCUUCUGAGCCAGGAGAAGGAAAUUUGCAGGGUUAAUCACUCAGUUAAGGUGGGGCAGGAACAAAUCACAAUGGUGGAAUGUCAUCAGUUAAGGCGGGGCAGGGCCUUUUCACUUCUUUUGUGAUUCUUCAGUUACUUCAGGCCAUCUGGGUGUAUAUGUGCAAGGCACAGGGGAUGCGAUGGCUUGGCUUGGGCUCAGAGGCCUGACAGUGGCACACGCCUGUAAUCCCAGCUACUUGGGAGCCUGAGGCAGGAGAAUCACUUGAACCCAGGAGGUGCAGGGUGCAGUGAGCCGAGAUCGCCCCACUGCACUCCAGCCUGGGCAACAGAGACUCCAUCUCAAAAAAACAAAAAAAAAAGCACAGGUCCCCUCCCUCAGUCCUGCAGACUUCCUCAAGCUGGGAAGGACCAAGGAUUUUGGGAAAUAACUCCACCGGCUUACAGACAGUGCACCCCAGGACAAAGAGUCAUGGUGUAAAUUUUAAUUAUCCUUUGUAGAGGCUUCAAAAAAAAAAAAAUCUAGAGUGCAGAGGUUCAGUCUGGUCCACACAGUUCUGAAUGCCUUUUAAUUAUCAUCACACACACCAGAGAAGGUCAUCUUAGAAUAUUUAAUCAGUUAGCACUAGAUGAAGGCUGGAGUAGGAGAGACUGGGAUAGUGGGGGGCAAUGUGGGGAUGGAGGCAGGGCGAGGGAGAUAAAGUCAAACUGGUUUUUUUUUUGUUUUUUUUUUUUUUUUUUUUUGGAGACAGAGCCUUACUCUGUCGCCCAGGCUGGAGUGCAAUGGUGUGAUCUCAGCUCACUGCAACCUCUGCCUCCUGGGUUUAAUCGAUUCUCCUGCCUCAGCCUCCCAAGUAGCUGGGAUUACAGGCACCCACCACCAUGCCCAGCUAAUUUAUUUGUAUUUUUUUAGUAGAGACAGGGUUUCACCAUGUUGGCCAGGCUGGUCUCGAACUCCUGACCUCAGGUGAUCCACCCGCCUCGGUCUCCCAAAGUGCUGGGAUUAUAGGGGUGAGCCACCGUGCCCAGCUAAGAUAUUUCAAUCUGUGAAUAACCCAUAUGGCCUGGUAACAGCAAGCACCUGGGAAUAUAUACAUAUAACCCACAUACGGACUGUCCCGUUCACUCCUCACAACCACUCUGCUAACAUACUACCAUCACCCCAUUUUAGAGAUGAGGAAACUGAGGCAGAGGUGCCUUGCCUAAGGUUUACAUAGUUCCAUUUGAGUGCCUACAUGGGAGUGCUUCAUUUGGUCCCCAAAGCUAGCCUGAGACAAGAACUUUCUUCUCCCCCCCCCGCAAGAGACAGGCUCUUCCCAUGUUGCCCAGGGUGGUCUCGUACUCCUGGAUUCAAGCAAUCCUCCUGCUUCGGCCUCCCAAAGUGUCAGGAUUACAGGCGUGAGCCACUGUGCCCAGUCUCAAACAAAAUUAAAAAUUCAGUUUCUCAGUCACACUAGCCACAUUUCAAGUGCUCAGAAACUUUAUGUGGGGCCAGGCAUGGUGGCUCAUGCCUGCAAUCCCAGCACUUUGGGAGGCCGAGGCGGGCGGAUCACGAGGUCAGGAGUUCGAGACCAGCCUAACCAACAUGGUGAAACCCUGUCUCUACUAAAAAAAUACAAAAAUUAGCCGGGCGUGGUGGUGUGCGCCUGUAAUCUCAGCUACUUGGGAGGUUGAGGCGGGAGCAUUGCUUGAACCCGGGAGGCGGAGGAUGUGGUGAGCCGACGUCGUGCCAUUGCACUCCAGCCUGGGCAAUAAGAGCGAAACUCCGUCUCAAAAAAAAAAAACAAAGGUUUAUGUGGCCACUGGCUACUGUACUGGACAGUACAGACCUAGAACAUGAACCAAACAUCACAGAAAGUUCCAGUGGAGAACACUGCUACAUAUCUGCCUGUUUUAGUUAGAAGCCAACAUUUUAUUUUUAUUUUAUUUUAUUUUUUGAGAUGGAGUUUCGCUGCUGUUGCCCAGGCUGGAGUGCAAUGGUGCGAUCUCGGCUCACCACAACCUCCGCCUCCCAGGUUCAAGCAAUUCUCCUGCCUCAGCCUCCUGAGUAGCUGGGAUCACAGGCAUGCUCCACCACGCCCAGCUAAUUUUGUAUUUUUAGUAGAGAUGGGGUUUCU
rnacentral:lncRNA from 10 species